rnacentral:hammerhead_ribozyme from 1 species
AUUUAGCUGACGACUCGUAAAUAAGACGAAAUGCGCAUCCUGGAU